GUAAGUUAGCUUAGGGAUUUCAUUGGAAAGAGGCAUCCCUUUUCCACCGGGCAUGCUGAGCUGACCGAAUAAAGCGCUUGAGUCCCAGAUGGCCAUCCAGCUUGCUCCCAUAGAAGGAGAGUGUUCUGGGUACUGUUAUGUUGAAGUGACCAAAAUGAGUGAAGAACUCAGCUUCAAGGAAGGGAUUAAUAUUGCUCUCAGGCUGCAAUGAUUCAGCCCAUGUUAGCUAUCUCCACUGUGAUACAGAACAGAAGCAGAGCCAAAGGAAUUCAGGGGAAGGAGAUAGGUGCUGAGAACUCCUUAGCACCUGAAUACACCAGUGUCUUCAGGAUACUCACACAUUUUAGCUUCAGGUGACAAAAUCACCCGUAUCCAUCUCUGCCUCUCAUCAGAUUUGCCAUGAGGAGUUCCACCGAAAGCGGCUCUAACAAAGAGGCCCUUAAGCCACAAGGGAGAGACUCACGGUUAAGUCCGCUUGGGAACAUUAUGUACUGGAUCCUCCCAGCCAAGAUUCAUUGUUUGUGUGACAUCACACUUCAAAGGGUAAUUAAGGCUUGGAUCUGGAACGUCACCCAAACAUUCAUGUGUCACUAAUGGAUUUGCUUCUCAGCUUGGUGGCACUUCUGGGUGGAAACUUUCAGAAAUGAACGGGCUUGGAGAAAGUAGGGCAUGGAAGGCGUGUGUUGAAGAGUGUCUGUUGUCUCCUGCCCCCCUUUCCUGGAGCCACUGUGCUACCCAUGACUCAUUUCCUGCCAUGAAUUCCCACUCUGCCUCGGUGUCUGUAUAAGAAUAGCAAAACCAGUUGAGCAUCAGCUUACACCUGUGAAACCACGAGCCACGACGAACCUUUCUCUCUUUAAGUUGGUUUCUAUCAAGUAUUUCGUUAACACCAAUGGAAAAUGGAGUAAUACAAGCAUCUUCAAAGUCCUGAAGGAAGCCAAAUCUCCAGACUGUCAUCAGUUGUUUCAGAUGUCACCAGGAGAAGGAGCUGGCGAGAUGGCUCGGUGGUUAAGAGCUCUGGCUGCUCUUCCAGAGCAUCCAAGCUCAAUUCUUAGCACCAACAUGGCAACCAUGGUUGUAUGUAACUCCCUUUUCAGGCUAUCCAACACCUUCUCGGGGCUUCCACUGGCAAUAUAUGAACAUGCCAAG
rnacentral:lncRNA from 1 species